GCCAGGCACAGUUGCACGUACCUGUAGUCCCAGGUAUUCUGGAGGCUAAAGCAGAAGAAUCACUUGAGCCCUGGACUUCAGGGCUAAGUUGAUUUGGUGUUGUUUAUGCUAAGUUCUGCAUCAAUAUGGUGACUUCUAGGAGUGGGGGACCACCAGGUUGCCUAAGGAGGGGUGACCCUAAGUUGGAAACAGAACUGGUCAAAUCUCGUACAAUUCCAGUAGUAGAAUUGCACCCCUCUGAAUAGCCACUGCCACUCCAGCAUGGGCAACAUAGCAAGACCCUGCCUCU
rnacentral:SRP_RNA from 1 species